AGCCUGUGUAGCGCGCUGACAUCAGAGCUGUGUAGUGGUUUUCCAGAACCUUUUCCACAAAGACGCAGUCAUCACUUCGAUUACUGGCCUUCUGAGAGAGCAGAUAAACCACAGAUGGUUGUCAGAUAAGCCUGGUCACACACAUGGAUGUAAGGCCACUGACCACAAAUGGGCCUCAUAAAAAAAGAUAACAGCCAAGAGUAGACGGAGCACGGUGGGCUGAGAGCAGCGGGAGAACACUCAGACUGAGUGUCUGCGAUACUGUUGUUUAAAGGUCCUCUUCACAAGCAGCGCUCACUUUAAGUGGGACAGACAGCUCGAAGACUUAGGAGUUCGGUGUUCGAGUCUGAAACCACAGGCUAUGGGGUCACCGGCAGGUCCUCAUCUCCUCAGACCAGACCAGACGAUGAGGAGGGGAAGCGGCUUGGUGCGGUGCAGAGCGCAGCGGUGUGCUGUGGAGCAGUCUCCAAUCUGGGACAUGGCCUUGGGCUGCGACUAAAUGAAAAAUGAAACAGUGCAGCAGCGGGGCCUUAAAUGUUUGUAACUCGGAGACUGGCUAAACCAUGCAAAACACAAAAACACACACAGAGCAGACUCCAAACAGAUCUCCCACAGAACAGCACCCUCUGACCUGCUUUCCUGGCCUGGUUCUGGCCCGAAUCCAAACCUAGUCAGGUACACACCAAAGGCGAUUUCUCCUCCAGUGGCCUGCCUUGGGUUUAUUUUCCUUUUAAAGGCUGCUUUGUUUUCAUGAUUAAUCAGAGUGAAGGGUUCUCAAGCAGGAUUCAUGACCGCAAUUGAAUGCAUUUUUAACUUCAAUAAACAAAAUAUUUAAGUGUUGUUGUUCUUUGCCCCAGAUUCUUGCGUAACAGUAAUA